CUCAAGCUUCUCAUCUUUCUUGGCCCUUCUUCAAAGGAUGAUUUUGAUGAAGAUGAUGAAUCUUCUGAUGUUGUGGGUGAGCUAGAUACAACUGUUUGUGUGCCGCUUGCUCCACUGUUUGGUGGUUGAAAUUCUUCUUGCUCAAGAAUUAAACGAACUUGCUUAAUGUCUUUAGCAUUCUCCCAAUUCCAAGCUUUAUCUUCUUCAAAGAUUACGUCUCGACUCAUGAUAAUAUAUUUUGUAAUGGGAUUGUAUAACUUGUAUCCCAUUAUCCUAUCACCAUAGCCAAUAAAGAUACAUUUCUGCCCUUUGUCAUCAAGUUUAGUUCUUCUUGCUUCUGGGAUCUUUACAUAAGCUAUACAUCCAAACACUCGAAGGUGAUUUGCACUAGGCUUAUGUGCUCUAAGCCUCUUCAAGUGUUACUCCACAAACAUUCUUGGUAGGACACUGAUUCAAUAAAUAUACUGCAGUUGAAACUGCUUCGGGCCCAAAAUCCAUUAGGUAAUUUCUUAUUUUUAACAUGCUUUUCGCUAUAUCGACGAUUCUACGAUUUUUUCGUUCAGCUGCACCAUUUAAUUGGGGAGUAUAAGUUGGUGUGAACUAUUGUCUGAUGCCAUUCAAAUUACAAAAGCUUUUAAAUGCAUCAGAAGUAUAUUCUCCCCCCUAAUCUGAUCGCAAUAUCUUUAUGUGAUAGCCACUUUGUUUUUCAACACUAGCCUUGAAUUCUUUAAAUACAUUCAACACCUCUGACUUUUUCUUGAGAAAGUAUACCCAUAUCUUUCUACAAUAAUCAUCAAUAAACGUAAGGAAGAACCUAUUUUGUCCGUUUGAUAUUGGCUUCAACAGACCACAUAUAUCUGUAUGGACCAACUCCAGUGGCUUCUUUGCUCUCCAACUUGUCUCCCUUGCAAAAUUUGUUCUUGCGUGCUUGCUACAAACACAGCUUUCACAAACUUCAUUCGAAUGAUCAAUAUUUGGCAACCACUUCAGCAUCUUUUUCUUUGACAACAAUCUUAAUCCUUCAAAAUUUAAAUGUCCAAAUCUCAAGUGUCACAACCAAUUCUUGUCGUUUAUAAUGACACUUAAACAUUUUGGUGAGUCAUAAGGAAUGUUUAAAACAAACAUUCUAUUUUUAGACAUUCAUACUUAGGAUAUUGGAUAUCCACGAUCAUCUUUGAUUAUCAGGCGGGAGUCUUUUAAACUAAUGUCAUAUCCCUUUUCUAUAAGCUGUCAUAGACUUAAUAAAUUAUGCUUGAUAUCCAACAUAUAAUAAACAUCAGUAAUAUAACUGUGACCACCAUUAUUGAGCUUGAUUAAGAUGUUACCUCUUUCUUUCACUGGAACUUUGGAGAGAUUGCCAAAAGAGACAUAGCCAUGCGGAGUUUCAUCAAGCUCCAUGAACAUAUGCUUUUUCCUACACAUAUGAUUGUUGCUUGCUCCUGUAUCUAAAAAUCAUAUAUUUUCAUUAUCUGUUGUUGUAUGAUAAGCCAUCAAUAUCAAUGAUUUUGGCUCACUUGUAUCACCAAAGUUGGUAUUUUCGCCAACUUCAACUUCAGCAAUUUUUGCGUGACAUUCGUUGCUAUAAUGUCCAUACUUAUGACAGUUAUAACACUACACGUUCCUUUUGUCACAAAUUUGAUGAUUAAAACCAUUUCUGCGUCUUUCUUGUCCUCUACCUUGACCUCUAUAUUGUCAUCUUCCUCUCUGAUAAAAUUAUUGUUGAAUUUCAUGUCCAUCAUUGAUGUUAAAUCUUCCUCCUCUUCCUCUAUUAUUAAAACAUCGUCCUCUUUGAAAUCACCCCCUUCCUCAACUUAGUUGUGAAUUUCCUUCAUGUCUUUUAUUUUCUUGAAGAGAAAGCUUUGAUUGCAAUGCUUAAUCAAGAGAUUUUGAUGAAAUUUUUUUAUUGAUCCGUUGUUCAUAGAUCUCUAGAGAAGCCAAUAGUUCAUCAAUAGUCAUACUACUGAGGUCUUUGGAUUCCUCAAUUGCUAUGACUACAUUAUCAAACUUUGAAUUUAGAGAACGAAGAAUUUUUUCUAUUACCUGCAAAUCUUUGAUCUUUUCUCUAUUGCGCUUGAUAUUGUUCACUAUAGUGAGGACUCGAAUAUCAAGAAUCUCCAAUGUUUCAAAUUCGCUUUUCAGCAUUUGUAGGCGAAUUCUCAUUGUCUUCUCGAUAUCUCGAAGUAAAUUUCGAAGUGCAUCCCAUGCUUCUCUUGUGUUUGUAAUAAAAGCAUUCUUCUCAAAAUUUCCUUCAUCUACUAUCUGAUAAAUUAGAUACAAGGCCUUCUGAUCUUUCUUCCUUGCUUCCUUGAGUGCUGCCUUUUCAGCUGCACUUAAUACAUCUUCAUCGGCUUUAGACGUAGGUUCUGUAUAACCUUUCUCCACCAUUUCCCAUAGGUCUUGGGAUGCUAAGAGCACCUUUAUUUGUAUGUUCCAAUUUUCAUAAUCCUCCUUUGUCAGCCUUGGUAGCUGUGGCUGAAAAAAAACUAGAUGAAGAGGUCAUAUCGAACUGGAAACAAAGAUUAUAUCACUUUCUUUUAUUCUUUCUUGGCUCUAAUACCACCGAUAGGUGGAAGUUGUGAUAGAAUAUCACUUUUUCACUCAAAUAAAUAAACUUUCAUAAAUCUCACAUAUAUUUCAUACAAUAGAGUUAUUUUCUCUCAACAACUCUCUUAUACAAACCUUACAAUUUCUC
rnacentral:lncRNA from 1 species